UUUUCGCGUGAGGGAUAGUAGUGGAAAUCCUUUUCCUUUUUUCUUUAAAAAGGAAAAGAUUGUAGCGGAAAGCCCGACCCUUG
rnacentral:sRNA from 1 species